UACGAAGGGGGCUAGCGUUGUUCGGAAUCACUGGGCGUAAAGCGCACGUAGGCGGACUUUUAAGUCAGGGGUGAAAGCCUGAGGCUCAACCUCAGAACUGCCCUUGAUACUGGGAGUCUUGAGUAUGGUAGAGGUUGGUGGAACAGCAAGUGUAGAGGUGAAAUUCGUAGAUAUUUGCUAGAACACCAGUGGCGAAGGCGACUUACUGGACACAUAUUGACGCUGAGGUGCGAAAGCGUGGGGAGCAAACAGG
rnacentral:rRNA from 1 species